rnacentral:rRNA from 1 species
GACGAACGCUGGCGGCGUGCUUAACACAUGCAAGUCGAACGGAAAGGCCCUGCUUGCAGGGUGCUCGAGUGGCGAACGGGUGAGUAACACGUGGGUGAUCUGCACCUUACUUUGGGAUAAGCCUGGGAAACUGGGUCUAAUACUGGAUAGGACCAUGCUGUAGGUGGUGUGGUGGAAAGAUUAGUUUCGGUAAGGGAUGAGCUCGCGGCCUAUCAGCUUGUUGGUGGGGUAAUGGCCUACCAAGGCGUCGACGGGUAGCCGGCCUGAGAGGGUGGACGGCCACAUUGGGACUGAGAUACGGCCCAGACUCCUACGGGAGGCAGCAGUGGGGAAUAUUGCACAAUGGGCGCAAGCCUGAUGCAGCGACGCCGCGUGGGGGAUGACGGCCUUCGGGUUGUAAACUCCUUUCAGCCAUGACGAAGCCUUCGGGUGACGGUAGUGGUAGAAGAAGCACCGGCUAACUACGUG